AUUGAACGCUGGCGGCAGGCCUAACACAUGCAAGUCGAGCGAGCGGCGGACGGGUGAGUAAUGUCUGGGAAACUGCUUGAUGGAGGGGGAUAACUACUGGAAACGGUAGCUAAUACCGCAUACCAUCAGAUGUGUCCAGAUGGGCUUAGCUAGUAGGUGGGGUAACGGCUCACCUAGGCGACGAUCCCUAGCUGGUCUGAGAGGAUGACCAGCCACACUUGAAUGGAGACACGGUCCAGACUGCGACGGGAGGCAGCAGUGGGGAAUAUGGCACAAUGGGGGCGAGGCUGAUGCAGCCAUGCCGCGUGUGUGAAGAAGGCCUUCGGGUUGUAAAGGACUUUCAGCGGGGAGGCGUUACCCGCAGAAGAAGCACCUGCUAACUCCGUGCCAGCAGCCGCGGUAAUAC
rnacentral:rRNA from 1 species